GGUGUUGUGGUUUGGUUGGCUAAAGCACCUUCCUGAUAAGCAGGUAAUCCUGGGUUCAAAUCCCAGUGGUGUCU
rnacentral:tRNA from 1 species